rnacentral:rRNA from 1 species
GACGAACGCUGGCGGCGUGCUUAACACAUGCAAGUCGAACGGAAAGGCCUUGCUUUUGUUGUGUGUUCCAGUGACGAAAGGGUCAGUAACGCGUGUGAAACGUGCCCUUUACUUUGCCAUAAUUUGAGUAAACUUGGGCUAAUACCGCAAAGGAGCUCUUGCUCCUCGGUGGGGUUUGGAAAGUUUCGGAGGUUGGGGAUGUACUCGCGGCUUAUCUGCUUGGUGGUCGGGUAGUGGCUUACCAAGGCUCUGACGGGUAGGCGGCCUGAGAGGGUGGCCGGCAGCAUUGGGACUGAGAUACGGCCCAGACUGCUACGGGAGGCAGAGGUGGGGGAUAGUACACAAUGGGCGGAAGCGUGAUGCAGCAACGCCGCGUGCUGGGUGACGGCCUUCGGGUUGUAAGCCGCUUUCGCCUGUGACGGGGAGUGAGUGACGGUAAUGGGUAAAGAAGCACCGGCUAACUACGUG